rnacentral:rRNA from 1 species
CCUACGGGGUGCAGCAGUGAGGAAUAUUGGUCAAUGGGCGCUAGCCUGAACCAGCCAAGUAGCGUGAAGGAUGACUGCCCUAUGGGUUGUAAACUUCUUUUAUAUGGGAAUAAAGUGCAGUAUGUAUACUGCUUUGCAUGUACCUUAUGAAUAAGGAUCGGCUAACUCCGUGCCAGCAGCCGCGGUAAUACGGAGGAUCCGAGCGUUAUCCGGAUUUAUUGGGUUUACAGGGAGCGUAGGCGGGUUGUUAAGUCAGUUGUGAAAGUUUGCGGCUCAACCGUAAAAUUGCAGUUGAUACUGGCAGCCUUGAGUACAGUAGAGGUAGGCGGAAUUCGUGGUGUAGCGGUGAAAUGCUUAGAUAUCACGAAGAACUCCGAUUGCGAAGGCAGCCUGCUGGACUGUAACUGACGCUGAUGCUCGAAAGUGUGGGUAUCAAACAGGAUUAGAUACCCUUGUAGUC